AUUUUCCUGGAGUGUUCGUCAGUGGAUGAAUGUCCCCUGAGCCGAUAAUCAAACCAAAGGAUGGUUAACAGAUUGGCUAUUGAGCAUGCUCGGCUCGUACCGAGAAGCCUACGGUUCCAACGUUAGCUGUCCGCCUUGAACCUAAGGGUUCAAGGGCUGCCAUCCUCAACGGCACUCCGGGAUUCCU
rnacentral:other from 1 species